GACGAACGCUGGCGGCGUGCUUAACACAUGCAAGUCGAACGGAAAGGCCCUGCUUUUGUGGGGUGCUCGAGUGGCGAACGGGUGAGUAACACGUGAGUAACCUGCCCUUGACUUUGGGAUAACUUCAGGAAACUGGGGCUAAUACCGGAUAGGAGCUCCUGCUGCAUGGUGGGGGUUGGAAAGUUUCGGCGGUUGGGGAUGGACUCGCGGCUUAUCAGCUUGUUGGUGGGGUAGUGGCUUACCAAGGCUUUGACGGGUAGCCGGCCUGAGAGGGUGACCGGCCACAUUGGGACUGAGAUACGGCCCAGACUCCUACGGGAGGCAGCAGUGGGGAAUAUUGCACAAUGGGCGGAAGCCUGAUGCACCAACUCCGCGUGCGGGAUGACGGCCUUCGGGUUGUAAACCGCUUUCGCCUGUGACGAAGCGUGAGUGACGGUAAUGGGUAAAGAAGCACCGGCUAACUACGUGCCAGCAGCCGCGGUGAUACGUAGGGUGCGAGCGUUGUCCGGAUUUAUUGGGCGUAAAGGGCUCGUAGGUGGUUGAUCGCGUCGGAAGUGUAAUCUUGGGGCUUAACCCUGAGCGUGCUUUCGAUACGGGUUGACUUGAGGAAGGUAGGGGAGAAUGGAAUUCCUGGUGGAGCGGUGGAAUGCGCAGAUAUCAGGAGGAACACCAGUGGCGAAGGCGGUUCUCUGGGCCUUUCCUGACGCUGAGGAGCGAAAGCGUGGGGAGCGAACAGGCUUAGAUACCCUGGUAGUCCACGCUGUAAACGGUGGGUACUAGGUGUGGGGUCCAUUCCACGGGUUCCGUGCCGUAGCUAACGCUUUAAGUACCCCGCCUGGGGAGUACGGCCGCAAGGCUAAAACUCAAAGGAAUUGACGGGGCCCCGCACAAGCGGCGGAGCAUGCGGAUUAAUUCGAUGCAACGCGUAGAACCUUACCUGGGUUUGACAUGGAUCGGGAGCGCUCAGAGAUGGGUGUGCCUCUUUUGGGGUCGGUUCACAGGUGGUGCAUGGCUGUCGUCAGCUCGUGUCGUGAGAUGUUGGGUUAAGUCCCGCAACGAGCGCAACCCUUGUUCACUGUUGCCAGCACGUUAUGGUGGGGACUCAGUGGAGACCGCCGGGGUCAACUCGGAGGAAGGUGGGGAUGACGUCAAGUCAUCAUGCCCCUUAUGUCCAGGGCUUCACGCAUGCUACAAUGGCUGGUACAGAGAGUGGCGAGCCUGUGAGGGUGAGCGAAUCUCGGAAAGCCGGUCUCAGUUCGGAUUGGGGUCUGCAACUCGACCUCAUGAAGUCGGAGUCGCUAGUAAUCGCAGAUCAGCAACGCUGCGGUGAAUACGUUCCCGGG
rnacentral:rRNA from 1 species